CUACGUGCCAGCAGCCGCGGUAAUACGGGGGGUGCGAGCGUUAAUCGGAAUAACUGGGCGUAAAGGGCACGCAGGCGGUGACUUAAGUGAGAUGUGAAAGCCCCGGGCUUAACCUGGGAAUUGCAUUUCAUACUGGGUCGCUAGAGUACUUUAGGGAGGGGUAGAAUUCCACGUGUAGCGGUGAAAUGCGUAGAGAUGUGGAGGAAUACCGAAGGCGAAGGCAGCCCCUUGGGAAUGUACUGACGCUCAUGUGCAAAAGCGUGGGGAGCAAACAGGAUUAGAUACCCUGGUAGUCCACGCUGUAAACGAUGUCGAUUUGGGGGUUGGGCUUUAAGCUUGGCGCCCGUAGCUAACGUGAUAAAUCGACCGCCUGGGGAGUACGGCCGCAAGGUUAAAACUCAAAUGAAUUGACGGGGGCCCGCACAAGCGGUGGAGCAUGUGGUUUAAUUCGAUGCAACGCGAAGAACCUUACCUACUCUUGACAUCCAGA
rnacentral:rRNA from 1 species